rnacentral:rRNA from 1 species
AGAGUUUGAUCCUGGCUCAGGAUGAACGCUAGCGGCAGGCCUAACACAUGCAAGUCGAGGGGCAGCAUAAAGAUAGCUUGCUAUUUUGGUGGCGACCGGCGCACGGGUGAGUAACGCGUAUGCAACCUACCCUAUUCUGGGGGAUAGCCCGAAGAAAUUCGGAUUAAUACCCCAUGGCACUAUUUUGUGGCAUCACACUAUAGUUAAAGGUUACGGAAUAGGAUGGGCAUGCGUCCCAUUAGCUAGAUGGUAAGGUAACGGCUUACCAUGGCGACGAUGGGUAGGGGGUCUGAGAGGAUGGUCCCCCACACUGGUACUGAGACACGGACCAGACUCCUACGGGAGGCAGCAGUGAGGAAUAUUGGUCAAUGGGCGAGAGCCUGAACCAGCCAUGCCGCGUGCAGGAAGAAUGCCCUAUGGGUUGUAAACUGCUUUUAUCAUGGAAUAAACCUUUCUACGUGUAGGAAGCUGAAGGUACCUGAUGAAUAAGCACCGGCUAACUCCGUGCCAGCAGCCGCGGUAAUACGGAGGGUGCAAGCGUUAUCCGGAAUCCUUGGGUUUAAAGGGUCC